rnacentral:rRNA from 1 species
UACAGAGGGUGCAAGCGUUGUUCGGAAUUACUGGGCGUAAAGCGCGUGUAGGCUGCGACGUAAGUCAGGUGUGAAAGCCCUCAGCUUAACUGAGGAAGUGCACUUGAUACUGCGUCGCUUGAGUGUCGGAGGGGGUGGCGGAAUUCCCGGUGUAGAGGUGAAAUUCGUAGAUAUCGGGAGGAACACCUGUGGCGAAGGCGGCCACCUGGACGACAACUGACGCUGAGACGCGAAAGCGUGGGGAGCAAACAGG